rnacentral:rRNA from 1 species
UCCGUAGGUGAACCUGCGAAAGGAUCAUUAUUGAAUUUAAUGUAGAGUUGGUUGUAGCUGGCCCUUGGAUUAAUUUCUGGGGGCAUGUGCACACCUUCUCUUUCAUCCACACACACCUGUGAACCUGUGAGAUAGUAGUUGGGGACUUUAAUGGACCCACUUCUGUCUACUUAAUUCAUAUAAAAUCAAUUUAAUUUAAAACGAAUGUAAUGGAUGUAACGCAUCUAAUGCUAAGUUUCAACAACGGAUCUCUUGGCUCUCGCAUCGAUGAAGAACGCAGCGAAAUGCGAUAAGUAAUGUGAAUUGCAGAAUUCAGUGAAUCAUCGAAUCUUUGAACGCACCUUGCGCUCCUUGGUAUUCCGAGGAGCAUGCCUGUUUGAGUGUCAUUAAAUUCUCAACUAUUAUCAGCUUUUGCUGAUGAUGGCUUGGAUAUGGGGGUUUAUUUUGCUGGCUUUACAGAAUGUCAGCUCCCCUUAAAUGCAUUAGCCGGUGCCCCGCGUGGACUGUCUAUUGGUGUGAUAAUUAUCUACGCCGUGGACAUCUACAAUCAUAUGGGUUUGCGCUGCUUCCAACCGUCUGUUUACUCAGACAAUACAUGACAAUUUGACCUCAAAUCAGGUAGGACUACCCGCUGAACUUAAGCAUAUCAAUAAGCGGAGGA